GGGGUCGGACAUCGUCGUGAUCUUGGCUUGUUCGCUCAAUGUCGUUGGGUUCUCCUUGUCCGCUGAGACAAGCAGCUUGUAAUUACCAGAAUCAGGAAAGGGAGGGAGCAAAGUUGUUGGCCGAUGAUGAUAUGAGAUUGACAACCUGUUUCCUGCAUCCUCUAGGAGUAGGAUUUGGAAGCGUUUUGGGAAGUAGACUGAAGACCAAGACGAUGGUAAUUCUGGUGAUGAAGCAACAUCACAUAUUUCCAAGAGGAGUGGCCGAAGGAGAACUUUUCUAUGUUGUUAAUGUACUAGAUUUACCCGGUGUCCAUAAGUAUCCGUAUAGUGCUGGAGUUUAUCCUGAUCGCACUGAUUUGGAAGUUCGAUUUCUCGCCGUUUAUGAUCCUGCUCAUUGCCAUUCUCAACGACGAGUGAAGCCAUCCCCACAUCCAGAUAGUUGGAAGCUGCCGGAGAUCUUCAUCACCGGCAUCAUCUAUGGCGCCUACCUUGCUGUGAAGGCCGUGGUGUUCUUCUUCGCCAUGACCAGCACUGACUUCUUCAGCGAGAAGUUCCACGUGCGUUCGCUAAGGGGCAACAAGGAUGCGAUGAUGUCUGCCCUCUACCUUCAAGUGAGCAUCAUCAGCCAGGCCCUCAUCUUCGUCACCCGGUCGCGCCGCUGGUGCUUCCAGGAGCGCCCGGGGCUCUGGCUCUGCUUCGCCUUCGUCGUCGCGCAGAUCGUAAGCCCACCCCACCCGGCCUCACUCCAACAAUGGAAUGUGUGCGUUCAUAUUCAUCUGUAGCUGCAGCAAUACCGAAGGAGAACAGAACAAAUCAAUGAUAAAGAUGGCGUCGACACUCUUCAUGAAUGCCGUUCUUUCUAGAGGUUCUCAUUCUGAAAGAAACUGCAACUAUGCAAGAGCUUAUUGACGGAGAUUAUGAAAUUUGCAGUUCUUGUUCUAGACAUCAGAUUGAUACUUUACCAAAGGUGCACCAACCGGACAUCCGUCUCCUAGGGUGAUGACGGAAUGACAUCGGCAGCAGCAGCAAUUACACACAGGUGAUGGUGGAUUUGUCAAUUGACUUCAUAUCUCUAUCUCUACUACCUAAAAAAAUUGCAACAUUUCAUUCCCAUCUUCCGUCUUAUGUCGUUUUGUCCAACCGCACACGUUUCUCUGGCCGUAUGCUAGAUUGCAAGAAUUGGAACGUUUCCUACUGCGUUUUUAAUGAUGCAAUACGGUUAAAAACUUUUUAUUACUUGGGUCUGCUACCUCAGAUUGACGCGUCAUGCUCGGGCAGUAAUAGUCUAAGCUUCAUCAUGUAAUAAGCUCCACCUGCGUGCACAGGUAAGUGGUUCUGGUACUGCUGCUAUUUUUGUUUGUUAUAUUUGCUGCCGGUCUGAUUGCUACUAGCUACUGUAUGUGCUUACCAUUUGGCUUUGAAGAGAUAUUUGCUCGAGGUUAUGCCAAUUAGUUUCAAAGCAGACUCCUCAAUUUGUAUUGUAUCUGAGAUCUAAUUUGUGCCAUAGAAUAUUAGCUUCUUCAUGGCAAUUUCAAUGUUACAUGUACCAUAGUAAGCCAAUCAAUAUCUGCACCAUAUUAGUCUGAUGCUUUCUUACCCUCUCAUCCUUAAUUAAUAGGCAUUUUCCAGAUCAAAUGUUGAUCAUUUUCUUUCCUUUGAUGCAUGUCAACGUGAAAGUAUGUGCUCCAGGAAAUAUCCUACUCAUCAAUCGGAAUAGUUAUUGUCAUUCUACGAGCUAAAAGACGUCGGUCAUUCUAAAAUGUCUAACUAUACUUUUAGCAAAGCGGCAACACCUGAAGUGUGUCGAUAUCUGUAGGUAAGGUUGUAGGAUGUCUUCUCACUUUUUGCCCUUGGCAGGCUUCAUAUUUUUGUCCCUAUGAUCCAGGAUUAGUUUCGUAGCCAUCUAGAGAUAAGACUGUAAAAUGAAGUUUCUCUAUGUGAAGGUGAAGCUAAUGUUUUCCUUGUUACUUCAACAAUUUGUUAUAUAGCAUUCUAUUAUUCUUUAUUUAUUGGAAAAUUUUGAUGGCACCAAAAUAUUUUAUUUGUGAUCCUUUUCCUAACCAAAUUAUCUCACGAUAGCUCUGCAAAUCAAAACUUGUGACAUGACAUCAAAUUGUCAUAAGAAAAAUCUCAACAAAUUGUAUGAUCAUUUUUCCUUAGCUUUGAUUAACAAUAAAACAUUUGUAUGUUUCUAAUUGGUAUAUUAGCUUAGCGAUAUUGUGGAUGGGUUCAUCCUUGCGGUUUAAGCUAAGGUAAAUUCCCCUAGAUUUACAAUUUUAUUCAAUGAACGAAAUGUCUACUUAUCUACACAUACAUCUGGGCAGGGUGACCCGACCAGUUUGAACUGACGAGGGUAGUGUAGCACAAUUGUCAAAUCUAAAGGUGAAGCCUAUGGGUGUGUGUAGCCGCCAAUCACCGUUGAAUUUCAAUGUAGUGCCAUAAAUCUCACCGUAUUGUAUAACCCUCGUCUCAUUGUAUCGUAUAUUUUGAUUUUUUUAUGCAUCAAGGCGUUGCUAAUUGUUGCCAAGUGACAUCUACGGUCCCAACGGAGCAAAUAAAGUUAAUGCGAAGAAGACAAAAUUCAAGGAGGAAGUAGGAUAUGGUUAUUGUACCUAAUAUUUGUGGUGUUGAACCACGCAUGGUUAUUGUACCUAAUAUCAUCCGUAUGUACUGUAGCUAUUUUUGCUGCUUUGGAUGGUGAACAGAAAAUUAUGUGAAUGAUAUUAACAACAAAUGGUUUAGCGAAUGAGGCCCUGAUUGGAUGGCACUGGCAAAUGGAUCAUCAAAGUAUAUGUUUCUAAUUUUCCA